rnacentral:pre_miRNA from 1 species
GCGGGAAAAGUUCGCAUUUUGACUUGGUACGGAGGGAGUCAAGCUCGAACUUUUCCUGCGU